rnacentral:rRNA from 1 species
ACGCGUAGGUAACCUGCCUGGUAGCGGGGGAUAACUAUUGGAAACGAUAGCUAAUACCGCAUAAGAGUAGAUGUUGCAUGACAUUUGCUUAAAAGGUGCAAUUGCAUCACUACCAGAUGGACCUGCGUUGUAUUAGCUAGUUGGUGGGGUAACGGCUCACCAAGGCGACGAUACAUAGCCGACCUGAGAGGGUGAUCGGCCACACUGGGACUGAGACACGGCCCAGACUCCUACGGGAGGCAGCAGUAGGGAAUCUUCGGCAAUGGACGGAAGUCUGACCGAGCAACGCCGCGUGAGUGAAGAAGGUUUUCGGAUCGUAAAGCUCUGUUGUAAGAGAAGAACGAGUGUGAGAGUGGAAAGUUCACACUGUGACGGUAUCUUACCAGAAAGGGACGGCUAACUACGUGCCAGCAGCCGCGGUAAUACGUAGGUCCCGAGCGUUGUCCGGAUUUAUUGGGCGUAAAGCGAGCGCAGGCGGUUAGAUAAGUCUGAAGUUAAAGGCUGUGGCUUAACCAUAGUACGCUUUGGAAACUGUUUAACUUGAGUGCAAGAGGGGAGAGUGGAAUUCCAUGUGUAGCGGUGAAAUGCGUAGAUAUAUGGAG